rnacentral:rRNA from 1 species
CAGCAGCCACGGUAAUACGGAGGGUGCAAGCGUUAUCCGGAUUUAUUGGGUUUAAAGGGUCCGUAGGCGGACUUAUAAGUCAGUGGUGAAAGCCUGUCGCUUAACGAUAGAACUGCCAUUGAUACUGUAAGUCUUGAGUAUAUUUGAGGUAGCUGGAAUAAGUAGUGUAGCGGUGAAAUGCAUAGAUAUUACUUAGAACACCAAUUGCGAAGGCAGGUUACCAAGAUAUAACUGACGCUGAGGGACGAAAGCGUGGGUAGCGAACAGGAUUAGAUACCCGUGUAGUCCCUGUCUCUUAUAA